UUAGACAGAAUUUUUUUUCCCCACUAGGUAGAAUUUCAUUAUUCGGUGUCUUCACUAUUAAUGGUAUAGACAUUGAUGUCAUAAAUUCUACCACCUAUUAGUAAUCAAUGGCUUUACCUAACGUACCGGCGCUUCAUGAAUGAUGCCCUGCAUUUUGCCAAAUUUCUAUGACAAUGUGCAGAGAUCUAGCAAGAAGAAAAUGAAGGGCAAUAAGUGGAGGAUAAAAAAAGAUGGUGUACCAAAUUGCCAUACACAAAUUAAAGGAGAAUGUGGAUUCGAAGGACAUCUCAUAUGCUUCUAUUAGGGAAAGUAGGAAAAGCCUUCUUUUGCACUUUAGGUAGUGGAAUUCAAUAAAGUGGCAUGGCUCAAGUGUAAUACAAGAGUCACAUGCUUAGUUUUUACAUCAUUUAUGAUAUUACUUAAAUUUACUUAUUAUUGGAUACUCAUGUACUCAUCUAUUCUAUAAUGAAGCAUCAAAUUGGUUUUCUUUUCUUUUAA